UGAAAGGUACCGAGCUUCAUCACAAGGAGU
rnacentral:piRNA from 1 species